AUUGAACGCUGGCGGCAGGCCUAACACAUGCAAGUCGAACGGUAACAGGAAGAAGCUUGCUUCUUUGCUGACGAGUGGCGGACGGGUGAGUAAUGUCUGGGAAACUGCCUGAUGGAGGGGGAUAACUACUGGAAACGGUAGCUAAUACCGCAUAACGUCGCAAGACCAAAGAGGGGGACCUUCGGGCCUCUUGCCAUCGGAUGUGCCCAGAUGGGAUUAGCUAGUAGGUGGGGUAACGGCUCACCUAGGCGACGAUCCCUAGCUGGUCUGAGAGGAUGACCAGCCACACUGGAACUGAGACACGGUCCAGACUCCUACGGGAGGAAGCAGUGGGGAAUAUUGCACAAUGGGCGCAAGCCUGAUGCAGCCAUGCCGCGUGUAUGAAGAAGGCCUUCGGGUUGUAAAGUACUUUCAGCGGGGAGGAAGGGAGUAAAGUUAAUACCUUUGCUCAUUGACGUUACCCGCAGAAGAAGCACCGGCUAACUCCGUG
rnacentral:rRNA from 1 species